AUUGAACGCUGGCGGCAUGCCUUACACAUGCAAGUCGAACGGCAGCACGGGAGCAAUCCUGGUGGCGAGUGGCGAACGGGUGAGUAAUAUAUCGGAACGUGCCCAGUCGUGGGGGAUAACGCAGCGAAAGCUGUGCUAAUACCGCAUGAGAUCUAUGGAUGAAAGCGGGGGAUCGCAAGACCUCGCGCGAUUGGAGCGGCCGAUAUCAGAUUAGGUAGUUGGUGGGGUAAAGGCUCACCAAGCCGACGAUCUGUAGCUGGUCUGAGAGGACGACCAGCCACACUGGAACUGAGACACGGUCCAGACUCCUACGGGAGGCAGCAGUGGGGAAUUUCGGACAAUGGGCGCAAGCCUGAUCCAGCAAUGCCGCGUGCAGGAUGAAGGCCUUCGGGUUGUAAACUGCUUUUGUACGGAACGAAAAGGCUCUGGUUAAUACCUGGGGCACAUGACGGUACCGUAAGAAUAAGCACCGGCUAACUACGUGCCAGCCGCCGCGGUAACAC
rnacentral:rRNA from 1 species